CCGAAGCUUCAGGAGGUCCUGAAAAAUCUCAAUGACUGUCACUCAGAGACAUUAAACUAUGUGUCUGGAGCUCAUGGGAUUCUGUCUUUGAUGCAAGGGGCCAGAUGCAAAGAUGUGGCUGCCAAAAAAAUGGAUGUUUGCAAAAACCUUGAAGAAAAACUGAAGCAGGAACUUGAUGAAGUGAGAAAAUCUAUUGAAAAGUCGAAUGUGGCUUUUGAUAGAUGCCUUACUGAGGGGGUUGAAAAAUCAAAAAGCUCAUGUGAAGAAAUGUUGAAGUCCAUCUUAUAUCCUAAAAAAGGACGAAGCAGUUUGCACAGGACAUUGAGAUGUAA